AACGAACGCUGGCGGCAGGCUUAACACAUGCAAGUCGAACGCACCUUUCGGGGUGAGUGGCAGACGGGUGAGUAACGCGUGGGAAUCUACCCUUCUCCACGGGAUAGCUCCGGGAAACUGGAAUUAAUACCGUAUACGUCCUGCGGGAGAAAGAUUUAUCGGGGAAGGAUGAGCGCGCGUUGCUUUAGCUAGUGGGUGGGGUAAAGGCCUACCAAGGCGACGAUCCAUAGCUGGUCUAAGAGGAUGAUCAGCGACAUUGGGGCGAAGACACGGCCCAAACUCCUACGGGAGGCGGGAGUGGGGAAUCUUGGACAAUCGGGGGAGUGCUGAAGCCGCCAUGGCGCGUGAGUCAUGAAGGCCCUAGGGUUGUAAAGCACUUUCAGUGGGGACGAUAAUGACGGUACCCAAAGAAGAAGCCCCGGCUAACUUCGUG
rnacentral:rRNA from 1 species